GAACUGGAGAGUUUGAUCCUGGCUCAGAUUGAACGCUGGCGGUAGGCCUAACACAUGCAAGUCGAACGGUAACGGACCGCUGGGAUUCCUUCGGGAUGACCUUGGUGCCGACGAGUGGCGGACGGGUGAGUAACACGUAGGAAUCUGCCAAACAGUGGGGGACAACCCGGAGAAAUCGGUAUAUCACCAUAUUUCUGGUGUGGUGAGUUGAAUACAUCAAAAAAUUCAGCACGUUUGACCCCUUGAAUUCCCAUAUGGCACGUACACGCCUGUUGCCGGCAGCAAAUUCAU
rnacentral:rRNA from 1 species